GUAGGUGAGCCAUCGCCUUCUCAAUGAUAACGAUGUAUUUCUACCACCCUGUCGCUGGAGUUGAAUUACCUCAUAAUGAUGAUCUAUCUUCUGUCUAUAGAACCAUGAGAUUCUAGGCGACAUCACAGCCAUUAAUCCUUCACUGGGCGGUUUUCUGUACGAGAUGCCAUUGUUGUUUGAAUAGCAAUGGUCACCGCCUUACUAAGCAGCUCUGCAGUAACAGGGUGACUGUUGAGUCAGGCAAAGAGAUCAUUCCUUGGGUCUUUCUGCUCUUAUGACUAAUUGUUGGGGUUCAUUAAAUACCAUUUUACACUUUUGAGUUAAAUAAUGAACACACGUGUUUGAAGUAAACUUGAAUAUUUGGAGGUCUAUAUUUUGGUUUUUUUGUUUGUUUGUUUGUUUUUUAAUUUUCCCACUGUACAGCAAGGGGGUCUAUAUUUUGUUAUCCAUCAGUUAGCGAUGAUCACCAUCCACUGGGUGAGUGAAUCUGUGCAAUCCCUUAGACAGAGCUCUAAAUUCUAUGAUUACAUGUAAACAUGUCUAUGUAUCUGGGACACAUACAUCUUUUAUUUUCAUGAUCAAAAUUGAGCUUCUUUUUGUAACUGGCUAUAGUCAUUCAGCCUUACCACGUUUUUGAGUGAGUGAUUCAAAGGGUGGACUCCAAAGUCAGGCUCCCAGAAUUCAAGUUUAUACCCACCGUUUACUUUCUACGCUUGAGGGAUGUUACUGAAUCUCCCUGUGGUCCAACUGCCUCAUCUAUGAGAUGAUAGUAAUGGGGAGUCCCCUUAAGAACCAGACGUCGUGUCCAUAAGGAUACAGGUUCAAUGCCUGGCCUCACUCAGUGGGUUAAGGAUCCAGUGUUGCCGCAAGCUGAGGCAUAGGUUGCAGAUGUGGCUCGAAUCUGGCAUGGCUGUGGCUGUGAUACAGGCCUCAGCUGCAGCUCUGAUUCAACGCCUAGCAAAAACAAAGAAAUAGAAAUGAUGUUACAGCUACCACUCCAGAAUUAAUGAGGAAUUAAUGAGUUAAUCCAUGUAAAGCUCUUAAAACACCACCUUUAUUUUAUUGCAGAUCUGAUAUAUUGUACUGUUUUGUUUUUUUUUUUUUUUGACUGCACCCACAGUAUGCGGAAAUUCCCAAGCCAGAGAUCAAACCCUUGUUGCAGUUGUAACCUGUGCCACGCUGUGCCAGUGCUGGGUCCUUAACCUGCUAUGCCACUAUAUUGGACUGUUUUUUAAGAAAGCCUCAAAUAUGAGCUAUUAUUACUUACCUGUGUAAAAUCAGCCACAUCAAAUGGUAUAUUUCUCACAACGCUUUUGGAGAUCUUAUCUUUCCUCCACCACCAUAAUAUAGCCUCUCUCCCUCCCUCCCUGCAGGCUCAUGGCAACCACCCAGAAGAGUGCCUGACAUAUAGCAUAUAAUGGGGACUUCAUGAAUGUUUAUGGCAUGCAUGGAGUCCAAUUUGUCUCAAAAUGUUAUCUUUUGUUGGUAUAGAGAAAGUUGAGGAAAAAGAAGCUUUUGCCUCUGUGAGCAAUUACCCAUCCUUAUGGCCUCAGACACAACCAUGUCUUUCUGUUACCUUGUAAUCCAUGCCCUGCCCUGAAACUGAAGUCCUUCUGGGAGGGUCAACAAUACACAUGCUGUUCCUGAGUAGUGGAAUAUUUUAUUUGGAAACAGGCAUUUGCUGACAGAUGUGUAAAAGUACACCUACCUAUACAAGUCCCCAUCACCUCAACAGCUGUGCACCGCCAAGAAACCACACUCUUUCUGUUCACCUGGCAUUCAUGGACACUUGGAUUUUUGCCCCCAGGUCAACCUGUGUCUGAUGCUGUCCAGCUGUCCCAAGGAUUGUUUGGCUCAGCACAACCGUGUGGGUUUCCCACACCCCUGGUGGCAGCAGUUCCAACACAAAUAUUGAAGCCGUACAAAUCUGAACUUCCAUUUCCUUCUGGAGGAAAUGAGAGCUACCAGGGCGUCCCUCGUUAGGUGUUGGUCCUUUUUCCAACUUCUCGUGGUCCCCAGAGCCUACCCAGUAUACAAGAGGGAAACAUGGACUCGAUGGAACUUGGGUGGGCUCAUUUCACAAUAAUGAAAAAUGCCUUGUUUUUCUUCUGCAUAAUCUUCUCUCCAUUCAUUAUGUUGGCUCUUUUUUUUUUUUUUUUUAAUUUCAGUGUUGCUUGAGAAAUACUAAGUGAUUAAUAACCCGUCUUGGUUUUGCUUUUGCUCUCGCUGGCUUGAAGAGAAAUAAUGUGACCUACAGAUGUUUGGACAAAUAGUACAUUGCGUUAAUGACAGAUUCUGCUCAGACAUGCCCCACACAAUUGAGCUUAUCAGCACUAAAAGAACAGGUAUUCCUGGACUUUGUCUAAUUGUCCUCUCUGGCUUUUCUUGUUAGACUAAAUACCAACCAUAUUGAAAAGGAGACUGGACAAAACUGUGUUCAGAGCUGUGCACUGCUUUUGUCCCCUACAAGGCAGACAGAGGAGGAAAUAUGCAGAUAGGGCAUAUGUGGGGGUUGUGUAAACAGUUCUAACAGAAUAGAAGCAUCCUUACGUGCAAGGCAUGUGGAUGGCGCUGUGCACGUCACGUAUCUCUUCAUAUAAAUUGCUUUUUUAUUUUUACUUAAAGUAUGGGAAAAGGAAAUAAGGUUUCUUAAGCAGAUAAAAAUUACCAGCCAGAGUUAAUUAAGUCAUCUUUUAUAGUAUGUGGUUUCAUUAAAAUUGGUGAUUAAUGAUAACUGAAACUCUCUGGGUUGGUUUAUAUAAAGGUUCCGUUGGGAUUGUAGAGUAAAGGAAAAAGGAGGAGACAUAAUUUCCAAAUUGGGUCAUGUUCCUGUCGACUAGAAAAUAUAUAUAUAUGCACAACCUAAAAUUCGAGAGUUAUGUUUUAUUCAGUGGACAAAACUGAGGACUUAAGCCUGCAAAGUAGCAUCUCAAACACCGAGAAAACUGCUCCAAGGAGGUGAGGGAAGAGCUAAGAUAGAGAGGAGUUUUGCAACAAAGGGCAAAAGAUUACUGUUGGAGCUCCUGCUGUGGCUCAAGGGGAUUUCGGGUGUCACAGAGAUGCAGGUUCAAUCCCCAGUCCAGCACAGUGGGUUGAGGAUCCGACAUUGUUACAACUGUGGUGUAGGUCGAAACUUCGGCUUGAUCUGAUCCCUGGCCCAGGAACUCCAUGUGCCUUGGGGUGGCCAAAGAAGGAAAACAAAAAGAUUACUAAAAGAAAAAUAAGAUUAAAAAAGAUUAAUAAAAGAAAAAUAGAUAUCUCAAGUUAAGGAAUUUUAGCACUUUUCUCCGUAUGGGAAAAUGCAAGAGUCAGGGCUCACUAAAAUCAUUCCUUUGGUAGGCACCUCAGCUCUCUGGGGUAUAUCCUGUGUUUUUACAUCCUGAGGGCUCACCCUGGGGAGUGGAUGCCUCUGAUGGCUGCUAGGUGGCAGAGAUUCUUUGUUUCCUUUCUGAGUUCCCUCAGGGCUCACCAGCUAGGAGGUGGCUGCCAUCACUGGUGACAGUGACAUCCUCUGUUUACUGAUACGGCAGCCAAUAUCUUAUUUGUCAUCCCUAGAUAAGAAAAUUCAAACAAGGUUAGAAUUACCGUUAGAAAAAUAUGGUUAUAAUUUAGAACGCAAGGUUUAGAACUGGCCAGGAGGGCCUUUGAGUCAGUCAACAUGCCCAUUUUACAAAUGAGGAAAAAGAGGUCCAGGGGUCCAGUCACAUGGCUGGCUCUUCAGCAGCUGAGCAAUAAUCCGAACCCACAUAUUGAUCUGAGAUUCUUGUAUUUUUUCCCACCACCUCUUCCUAGUCGCUGUUUUUCUAACGAUUUUUAUUUUUUCCAUUAUAGCUGGUUUACAGCGUUCUGUCAUUUUCUACAGUGCAGCAAAGAGACCCAGUCACACAUACAUAUAUGCAUUAUUUUUCUCCCAUUAUCCUCCAUCAUAAGCCUGGUCACAAUUUUUUAAUUGCAAAAAUAUGCGUUAAGCACAUACCAGCCCUAAGGACUGCACUGUGGCAGUUCAGGUGGGAAAGCAGAAUGUAAGAAUUCAUCAUGUCAGCCAUCAAAGUUAUGUUUUUCAACUUUGUAGGAGAGAGACAGCUGCACAGCAUUUGAUCUUCACAAUGACAAUGAAAAUGAACCUUAUUUGAAGUUGCAAAAUCACCACAUUGCAUUAGCACAAGACUCUGGCAUGCAGGCACGAGGGCCUUUUGCAGAUGGCUUGCAGAGACUUCGUUUAUGUAGGCACUUCAGGGAACAGAUGGGACCCGUGACGUCCCAGGGCAGAUGUGGAUUUACAGCAUCUCCUUCACAGGCCAGAGCGGCUCCCUUCUACUUGAGCAAAGCCAUGUCAUGCCUCUGGACUGGGAGUCACCAGUAGAGGAGUCCUUAAAGAAACCUGUCCCCAGUGGCACCACUGGCUUCAUCCCAGAGCCUGGCAAUGCAUCACGAGUGAGUGUUUGAUGGCAACAAAAAUUCCAUUUCAGUUGAAGUUUAUAAAGAAAAAACAAGCAUCACCCGGGAGGCUGGAAGAUUAAGGGAAAAAAAACCCACAUUAGUUUAAAUGUUCUCUGCCAUUGUCAUAAACCCAAGAGAGAUAGUUUUUCUUUUUCCUCUAACUUGGGUUAAGUAUGUAUGGUACCUGUCCCCUCCUCUGAUUUACCUAUCCCCUAGAUAGUUUAAGCUCUGGAGAUUUGAGAACUAAAGGAAAAUACAUGUAAAGCUGAGCUUCAUGAAGACUCUGCCAAGAGGUCACUUCAGGGUCUUUAGUGUGUAAAAUUCUGAUAAAAAUAUGUGUCUUGGUUCCUCCAAAGGUAGCGUUUCAGCAUCUCAUAAAGAAGCUAUCAGAGAAGAUAGCCACUUGGGGAAAAAAAAAAAAAAA
rnacentral:lncRNA from 1 species